rnacentral:rRNA from 1 species
AUUAAUAAUUAAUAUAUUUAAUAAAAAUAAUUUUAAUUUAAUAAAUAUUUUAAUGGGGGUUAAAGUAUUUUUUAAAGAAAAAAUUUUUAAAUUUAUAGUUAAUUAGUAUUGUGAAAGAAUUUUGAAAUAUUAUGAAAAAUAAAAUUUUUAGAAAGUAAUUUUUAUUUAUUGUAUCUUGUGUAUCAGAGUUUAUUAAAAAUUUUUAAUUUAUAAAUUAAUUUCUCGAAUUUAAAAGAGUUAAAUAAUUAUUAAAGUUAUUGUAGCAAAAUUAUUUUAAAUAAUUAUUUAGAAAUGAAAUGUUAAUCGUUUUUAAAUAUAUCUAGUUUUUAUAGAAAAAAAUUUAAUUUUAAAUUUAAAAAUUAUUUAAUUAAUUUAUUAAUUAAAUAAUUAUUUUAAUUUUAUAAUUUAAGGGAUAAGCUUUAAAUUAAAAUUUUAUAAUAUUAAAUUUUUAUUUUGAAAAUUUUAUAAUUUAUAUUGUUAAUAAAUUUUAUUUUGUUAUAAAUAAUUUCAUUUUUUUAAAAUUUAAAUUUUAUUUAAUUUUUUAUAUAAAAUUUAUUUAUAAUUAUAUAAAGUUAAUUAUAAUGAUAAAAUUAGUAUAUUAUUUAAUAUUAAAUUAAAAUUAAUUUUUGAUUAAUAAUUAAAUUAAUUAAAAGGAAUUCGGCAAAUAUUUAUUUUCACUUGUUUAUCAAAAACAUGUCUUUUUGUUAUUUAAUUUAAAGUCUAAUCUGCCCACUGAUUUAUAAAAAUUGAAGGGCUGCAGUAUAUUGACUGUACAAAGGUAGCAUAAUCAUUAGUCUCUUAAUUGGUGACUUGUAUGAAAGAUUGGAUGAAAAAUAUACUGUCUCUUAAUUAAUAUAUAGAAUUUAAUUUUUUAUUUAAAAAGUUAAAAUAAUUUAAAAAGACGAGAAGACCCUAUAGAGUUUAAUAAAUUAUUUUAUGAAAGUUUUAUUUAUAAUUACUAAUAAUUUUAUAAAUUUAUUUAUUUUGUUGGGGUGAUAAAAAAAUAAAUUUAACUUUUUUUAAGUAAUUUACAUGAAUAAGUGACUAAU